rnacentral:rRNA from 1 species
UGCAAGUCGAGCGGACAGAUGGGAGCUUGCUCCCUGAUGUUAGCGGCGGACGGGUGAGUAACACGUGGGUAACCUGCCUGUAAGACUGGGAUAACUCCGGGAAACCGGGGCUAAUACCGGAUGGUUGUUUGAACCGCAUGGUUCAAACAUAAAAGGUGGCUUCGGCUACCACUUACAGAUGGACCCGCGGCGCAUUAGCUAGUUGGUGAGGUAACGGCUCACCAAGGCAACGAUGCGUAGCCGACCUGAGAGGGUGAUCGGCCACACUGGGACUGAGACACGGCCCAGACUCCUACGGGAGGCAGCAGUAGGGAAUCUUCCGCAAUGGACGAAAGUCUGACGGAGCAACGCCGCGUGAGUGAUGAAGGUUUUCGGAUCGUAAAGCUCUGUUGUUAGGGAAGAACAAGUACCGUUCGAAUAGGGCGGUACCUUGACGGUACCUAACCAGAAAGCCACGGCUAACUACGUGCCAGCAGCCGCGGUAAUACGUAGGUGGCAAGCGUUGUCCGGAAUUAUUGGGCGUAAAGGGCUCGCAGGCGGUUUCUUAAGUCUGAUGUGAAAGCCCCCGGCUCAACCGGGGAGGGUCAUUGGAAACUGGGGAACUUGAGUGCAGAAGAGGAGAGUGGAAUUCCACGUGUAGCGGUGAAAUGCGUAGAGAUGUGGAGGAACACCAGUGGCGAAGGCGACUCUCUGGUCUGUAACUGACGCUGAGGAGCGAAAGCGUGGGGAGCGAACAGGAUUAGAUACCCUGGUAGUCCACGCCGUAAACGAUGAGUGCUAAGUGUUAGGGGGGUUUCCGCCCCUUAGUGCUGCAGCUAACGCAUUAAGCACUCCGCCUGGGGAGUACGGUCGCAA